rnacentral:rRNA from 1 species
AGCGAACGCUGGCGGAAUGCUUAACACAUGCAAGUCGCACGCCCCGCAAGGGGUAAGUAGAGUGGCAAACGGGUGAGUAACACGUGGGUGACCUGCCCUCGAGUGGGGGAUAACGUCCCGAAAGGGACGCUAAUACCGCAUAACAUCCUGCCUUUUAAGAGGCGGACAUCAAAGCUGGGGAUCGCAAGACCUAGCGCUUGAAGAGGGGCCCGCGCCUGAUUAGCUAGUUGGUGGGGAAUGGCUCACCAAGGCAACGAUCAGUAUCCGGCCUGAGAGGACGAUCAGCCACACUGGGACUGAGACACGGCCCAGACUCCUACGGGAGGCAGCAGUGGGGAAUAUUGGACAAUGGGGGCCAACCCCGACCCAGCCAUGCCGCGUGAGUG